AGAGUUUGAUUAUGGCUCAGGAUGAACGCUGGCGGCGUGCCUAACACAUGCAAGUCGAACGAAGCACCUUUUGAGAUUCUUCGGAUGAUCGAUCGGUGACUGAGUGGCGGACGGGUGAGUAACGCGUGGGUAACCUGCCCUGUACAGGGGGAUAACAGCUGGAAACGGCUGCUAAUACCGCAUAAGCGCACGAGGAGACAUCUCCUUGUGUGAAAAACUCCGGUGGUACAGGAUGGGCCCGCGUCUGAUUAGCUGGUUGGCAGGGUAACGGCCUACCAAGGCAACGAUCAGUAGCCGGUCUGAGAGGAUGAACGGCCACAUUGGAACUGAGACACGGUCCAA
rnacentral:rRNA from 1 species